rnacentral:rRNA from 1 species
AUUGAACGCUGGCGGCAGGCCUAACACAUGCAAGUCGAGCGGUAGCACAGAGAGCUUGCUCUCGGGUGACGAGCGGCGGACGGGUGAGUAAUGUCUGGGAAACUGCCUGAUGGAGGGGGAUAACUACUGGAAACGGUAGCUAAUACCGCAUAAUGUCGCAAGACCAAAGUGGGGGACCUUCGGGCCUCAUGCCAUCAGAUGUGCCCAGAUGGGAUUAGCUAGUAGGUGGGGUAACGGCUCACCUAGGCGACGAUCCCUAGCUGGUCUGAGAGGAUGACCAGCCACACUGGAACUGAGACACGGUCCAGACUCCUACGGGAGGCAGCAGUGGGGAAUAUUGCACAAUGGGCGCAAGCCUGAUGCAGCCAUGCCGCGUGUGUGAAGAAGGCCUUCGGGUUGUAAAGCACUUUCAGCGGGGAGGAAGGCGAUGAGGUUAAUAACCUUGUCGAUUGACGUUACCCGCAGAAGAAGCACCGGCUAACUCCGUGCCAGCAGCCGCGGUAAUACGGAGGGUGCAAGCGUUAAUCGGAAUUACUGGGCGUAAAGCGCACGCAGGCGGUCUGUCAAGUCGGAUGUGAAAUCCCGGCUCAACCUGGGAACUGCAUUCAAACUGGCAGGCUAGAGUCUUGUAGAGGGGUAGAAUUCC